AUACUUACCUGGCAGGGGAGAUACCAUGAUCACGAAGGUGGAUUUCCCAGGGCGAAGAUAUCCAUUGCACUCCAGAUGUGCUGACGCCUGCGAUUUCCCCAAAUGCGGGAAACUCAACUGCAUAAUCUGUGGUAGUGGGGGACUGUGUUCGCGCACUCCCCUU
rnacentral:snRNA from 1 species